rnacentral:rRNA from 1 species
UUAGAGUUUUGAUUAUGGCUCAGGAUGAACGCUAGCUACAGGCUUAACACAUGCAAGUCGAGGGGCAGCAUGGUCUUAGCUUGCUAAGGCUGAUGGCGACCGGCGCACGGGUGAGUAACACGUAUCCAACCUGCCGUCUACUCUUGGCCAGCCUUCUGAAAGGAAGAUUAAUCCAGGAUGGGAUCAUGAGUUCACAUGUCCGCAUGAUUAAAGGUAUUUUCCGGUAGACGAUGGGGAUGCGUUCCAUUAGAUAGUAGGCGGGGUAACGGCCCACCUAGUCAACGAUGGAUAGGGGUUCUGAGAGGAAGGUCCCCCACAUUGGAACUGAGACACGGUCCAAACUCCUACGGGAGGCAGCAGUGAGGAAUAUUGGUCAAUGGGCGAUGGCCUGAACCAGCCAAGUAGCGUGAAGGAUGACUGCCCUAUGGGUUGUAAACUUCUUUUAUAAAGGAAUAAAGUCGGGUAUGCAUACCCGUUUGCAUGUACUUUAUGAAUAAGGAUCGGCUAACUCCGUGCCAGCAGCCGCGGUAAUACGGAGGAUCCGAGCGUUAUCCGGAUUUAUUGGGUUUUAAGGGAGCGUAGAUGGAUGUUUAAGUCAGUUGUGAAAGUUUGCGGCUCAACCGUAAAAAUGCAGUUGAUACUGGAUGUCUUGAGUGCAUUUGAAGCAGGCCGAAAUCGUGGUGUAACGGUGAAAUGCUUA